AUCUAGUAAAAUCCCAUAUGGGCUAUUUCAGAUGCUCUCUGCUGUGGGCCUUUUCUCCAGAGAUUGACCAGACUUGCUUAGGCUCUAGCGGCAUGCAAGUACUUUGGGACAUUCCCUUCAAGCCUUGAAAAGAUUUGGCCCAAUGAUUUGGGGCGUGUCUGAGGCUCCAUUUAAAUCCAACAUCAGGGAGAGAGGAGUUCCUUCACUAAAGAAAGAUGUACAGCAGUCUGCAAGCUGGGGAGGCAUGGCCGGUGUGCUUGAUGGAAUGUGCAGCUCACACUUCUCGGGGAAGCUCAAGGAGGGGUGCUCCCCAGUCACAGGGCCAGCCUCCCUCUCGCAGGAGCUUCCAGCAGGGAGACCAUGGCCCCUUAAUAAAAGCACCUAGAACUUGA